CGAAAUGCAGGAGCUCUAAGACGACACCACAUCCUCAGAUGCUCCGGGUCCAAAUGAAUAUAGGGACAAAUCGAUGAGUGACAGAUUCAGAAAUGUCCCAGAACUAACUGCAGCCCAGUCUCUGGAAAGGGCUGUUGUAGCACAGCACUGGGAGAGUAACUUCACUUCAGUUCCACCCCGGAGCCAAGUAUGGGAGACCAGUCAAACUUAGAGGGAAGCUGCUUCUACUGCAGGGGGAUUUGGGGAACUCCAAAGGCCCUGACAGAGAGGCUCCCACCCUUCUCUGGCUCCUCAUGGAUGAAUUGAGAAACUGGGCGUGACCUCCUCCUCCAUACUAGCUGCCCACCAUGGAGCUACACCCCUGGGCCUUUUUCCUUUUUAACAGGGUUUCACCAAGUUGCCAUGGAGACCUUGAACUUGUGCCCCCCC
rnacentral:sRNA from 1 species